rnacentral:lncRNA from 1 species
AUCACACAUACAAGAGGUUACCCAAAAUAUUUGCACGGUUAGUGUGCAUAGUCUACGAUUAGCCAAAGAUAGGGCUAAAAGCAAAAAUUUAGCAAUAAAGAGUUAUAAUAAACUUAUUAUCCAGAAAACACAGAAACUAGGGACGGCACGAUGACCCAGUGGGUAGAGCUGUACAAUCCUGAUAACCUGAGCUCAGUUCAUGGAACUCUUAAAGGUGGAAGGAGACCCAACUUCAUAACAAUUGUCUUCUGACUGCAACACAUGUACCAUAAUAAACACCCCACACACAUGUGUGUCACACACACACACACAACUUUUAGAUACAGAAAUUAAACACAGCUAUGGUAAUGAUCUGUCUACUCGUUGUCUGUCUGUCUGUCUUCUGUACCUACCUAUCCAUUUACCUAUAAUCAUCAUUAGAAUAUUACUAAGAGCAUGUUAGGCUGUGGGCCACAGCAAGUGUAAAUGCCAUCACUCUGUGUUCUGUUCUCUGCUGAGUUACUGCUGAGCCCACGAGGAAGCAAGCAUCUGCCUUUCCUGGCUAUGGUGGGCCAUUUCUGGGUGUCUGGUAGGUUGUCUGCACCCCCACCCCCACCCCAGGGCCGUUUGUUGCCUCUGCAACUCACGAGUGACAUUCAUAUGGCUGUCCACUUCAACUGCAAUAGUGCCUUUAGUUGAAAGAACAGGAAAUUAAUGUUCUUCCUAAAGGUAGCUUUAAUUAGAUGACGUUUCAGUCAUAGACUCAGAACUUAAAUAAUGAGUUGUUUUCCGUUUCUCUCACACCAAUAAAGUAUUCUCAUUGUGGAAA